rnacentral:rRNA from 1 species
UUUGAAAUCUGGCUCCACUGGAGUCCGAGUUGUAAUUUGUAGAAGAUGCUUUGGGUUGUGGGUUCGGCCUAAGUUCCUUGGAACAGGACGUCAUAGAGGGUGAGAAUCCCGUAUGUGGCCGAGGCCCGCGCCUAUGUAAAGCUCUUUCAACGAGUCGAGUUGUUUGGGAAUGCAGCUCAAAAUGGGUGGUAAAUUUCAUCUAAAGCUAAAUAUGGGCCAGAGACCGAUAGCGCACAAGUAGAGUGAUCGAAAGAUGAAAAGCACUUUGGAAAGAGAGUUAAACAGUACGUGAAAUUGUUGAAAGGGAAGCGCUUGCACCCAGACUUGGGCGCUGCUGAUCACCUUGAGGUCUCCUCGAGUGCACUCGACAGCGCACAGGCCAGCAUCGGUUCGGGUGGCUGGAUAAAGGCCGUAGGAACGUAGCUCCUUUCGGGGAGUGUUAUAGCCUACGGUGCCAUGCAGCCCAGCCGGACCGAGGACCGCGCCUUCGGGCUAGGAUGCUGGCGUAAUGGGUGUAAGCGACCCGUCUUGAAA